rnacentral:rRNA from 1 species
AGUGAACGCUGGCGGUAGGCCUAACACAUGCAAGUCGAACGGCAGCACAGUAAGAGCUUGCUCUUACCGGUGGCGAGUGGCGGACGGGUGAGGAAUACAUCGGAAUCUACUUUUUCGUGGGGGAUAACGUAGGGAAACUUACGCCAAUACCGCAUACGACCCUCGGGUGAAAGCAGGGGAUCUUCGGACCUUGCGCGAUUGAAUGAGCCGAUGUCGGAUUAGCUAGUUGGCGGGGUAAUGGCCCACCAAGGCGACGAUCCGUAGCUGGUCUGAGAGGAUGAUCAGCCACACUGGAACUGAGACGCGGUCCAGACUCCUACGGGAGGCAGCAGUGGGGAAUAGUAGACAGUGGGCGCAAGCCUGAUCCAGCCAUACCGCGUGGGUGAAGAAGGCCUUCGGGUUGUAAAGCCCUUUUGUUGGGAAAGAAAAGCAGCAGGUUAAUACGCCGCUGUUCUGACGGUACCCAAAGAAGAAGCACCGGCUAACUUCGUG